GGAAAGAUGGCCGAGCGGUUUAAGGCGUUGGUCUUGAAAACCAAAGUAGCAUUCCGUGCUACCGUGGGUUCGAAUCCCACUCUUUCCG
rnacentral:tRNA from 1 species